ensembl:lncRNA
GUAAAAUCAUGGCUGUCCGGUGAAAUCCUUGGUGACUGGAAAAAGGGAAACAUUCCUCCCAUUUUCAAGAAAGGGAGAAAGGAAGGCCUAGGGAACUACAGGCUGGUGAACCUCACCUCUGUGCCUGGGAAGAUCAUGGAGCAGAUCCUCCUGGUUGCCAUGUUAAGGCACAUAUGAGAUGAAUAGGUGAUCCAAGACUGUCAGCAUGACUUCACCAAGGGCAGAUCUUGCCCAACCAAUCUGGUGGCCUUCUAUGAUGGAGUGAUAGCUUCAGUGGAUGGGGGAUGGGAGAAGGAUGUCAUCUACCUGGACUUCUGCAAAGCCUUUGACAUGGUCCCUCACCACAUCCUUCUCUCUAAAUUGGAGAGGUAUGGAUUUGAAGGAUGGACUGUUUGGUGGAUUAAGAACUGAUUGGCCGGUCGCAGCCAAAUGGCUGUGAUCAGUGGAGGGGUGAAGGCCAGUCAUAAGUGGUGUCCCCAAGUCUUGGUCUUGGGACCGGACUCUUCAGCUUCUUUAUCAAUGAGAUAGAUCUGGGACCUGGACAGGAUGGAGAAGUGGGCCCAUGUGAACCUAAUGAGAUUCAACAAGGCCAAGUGCAGGGUGCUGCACUUGGGUCAGGGCAAACCCAGGUAUUUAUACAAGCUGGGUGAAGAUCUCCUUGAGAGCAGCCCUGCAGAGAAGGACUUUGGGGUCCUGGUAGACGAGAAGCUGGACAUGAGCCAGUGUGCGCUUGCAGCCCGGAAGGCCAACUGUUCUGGGCUGCAUUAAAAAAGGGGUGGCCAGCAGGGAGAGGGAGGUGAUUGUCCCCCUCAGCUCUUGUGAAGCCCCAUCUGGAGUACUGUGUCCAGGCCUGGGGCCCCCAGCGCAAGAAAGACACAGGGCUCUUGGAGCAGGUCCAGAGGAGGGCCACUAAGAUGAUCAGAGGGCUGGAGCACCUCUCCUAUGAGGAAAGGUUGAGGGAACUAGGAUUAUUUAGAUUGGAGAAGAGAAGGCUCUGGGGAGACCUCAUUUGUGGCCUUCCAGUAUUUGAAAGGAGCGUAUAAACAGGAGGGGGAAAGACUGAUUAUGUGGUUUGAUAGUGACAGGACAAGGGGGAAUGGUUCUAAACUGAGACAGGGGAGGUUUACGUUAGAUAUUAGGAGGAAGUUUUUCACUCAAAGGGUGGUAAUGCACUGGAACAGGUUGCCCAAGGAGGUUGUGAAUGCCCCAUUCAAGGCCAUUUGAGGUCAGGCUGGAUGUGGCUCUGGGCAGCCUGGUCUAGUGGUUGGCGACCCACACAUAAGCAGGGAGGUUGAAACUCGAUGAUCUUUGAGCUCCUUUUCAACCUAGGCCAUUCUAUGAUUCUAUGAAAACGUGAAUGGCUAGAGUAAAUGAAUCUAAAUGCUUUGACUUUACAAGCAAAGGACUGCAAAUCUUAAACCCAUGACAAUUUCUAUACAUUGUAUAACAUUUUAACAGAUCAAUAUCUGUAAGAUGCCUUGAAUCUUGUAACUCAUUCUAGUUAUUAAUCUUCUCCAAGUUCUAGUUGAUAGGGACACAACAAAGACC